rnacentral:rRNA from 1 species
GACGAACCGUGCGAACGUUGUUCGGAUUCACUGGGCUUAAAGGGCGCGUAGGCGGCGCAGCCAGUCCGGGGUGAAAGCUUUCGGCCUAACCGGAAAAGGGCCUUGGAUACUGCUGCGCUCGAGGGGGACAGGGGCAGGUGGAACUUCCGGUGGAGCGGUGAAAUGCGUAGAUAUCGGAAGGAACUCCGGUGGCGAAAGCGACCUGCUGGAUCCCUACUGACGCUGAGGCGCGAAAGCCAGGGGAGCAAACGGG